UUGGACUGGGCAGCCCGG
rnacentral:snRNA from 1 species